rnacentral:lncRNA from 1 species
AUGAUUAAAAAUUUACUUUUGGCACCAUGUCGACAGGACUCAACAAAUGCCCAAAUGAUAAAGUACAGUGGUAAACACACCGCAUGCACGACGGAUCCUCUUAUUUUAUUUAGAUACAAACAUAAGCACAAAUCAAAUCAAACCAAACCAAACCAUACGUCUGAUACAUAGUCUUCUCCUCACUUGAGAGUCACACACCGAAAUAAACAAGCAGGUGCACACACGCAUCAUCAAGCACCAGUUUAUUCUUUGGGAAAUUAUAUAAACACACCGUCGUUUAGGGCCGUAUGCAUCGUGCUGAUGCAGAGGCCGGGGUUUCUCCCCCUUUUCGAGAAAAAAAAAUAAACACACCGUCAACUGGGCAAGCCCAACACCUGAUUCAACCGUUCCAGCAGCAGAAAAUCAUCCCAUCACCACAUCUGCGAAUGUGAUGAUAAAACUAGUUAACGUGAGACGAAAAGAAAAGAAAGAUUCGGUAGCACAUAGGGGUGAUUGGAUCCUUGCUAUAUGUAUCAUUUUGCGAUUCAGAUAUAUGGCACAUGCAUAGUAAGUGCCGCAGAUACAUACACAUGAUUUAUACAAGGAUGACAUGGCAUAUGAUACAGUAAGGUAAACAAUAAAAAGGCGAGGGCAUGUGUAUGCAUACCUGAACGGUCAUGACAAUUCAACGGAGGACCGAGACUCUGGGUAGG